CAGGUUGGGCCCAGGACAGAACCAGGGAGAGGGAGCCCAGCUACCUGUGUGUAAUUUCUAUGAGCACAACGGUCCCUCUCCGUGCGCGCUCAGGGUGCUGGGCUCCUCGCUCACAGAUCUGGGUCUCACUUUCUUUGAGGACCGUGUGGAGGGAGGAAGCCUGACUUCGCUGACCUGCCUACCAGUGGCGAGAGCAGGAGGUGAAUAGGUCUAAGACAAGCUGCAGGGGAGGCCAUUUGAAGGGUUGCGGCAGUUUGAGGGCUUUUCCCUGGAUCUCGGUCUAGGCUGACUCCCCAUUUGGGAGGCGGCAGGAUGGGCCCGUCACCUUGCGCGAUCUAAGAGCCUUCCAGACGAGGGGAUACUGAAACGAUGUGGGGGUGGGGUGUCUCAAGAAUGGGGAUGUGGAGGUCUCUGCGGCUGUCAGUGACUGCCUGGCUCUCUUCGGCCAACUCCAGUCAAAAAGACUCCAUUGACUUUUAGGAUGUCCUUCCAAGAAGCCAUCCAUACCCACUAUCCCUCAUGCAGGGGGCCGAGAAACAGCCAUUCGGAGCAGGACUAUGAUGACUUCCAGCCAAUCGGCACCAAGGAAAGGGAGUUGAGGUGGGGCCUUGGGCAAAGCCGCCUGUGAGGCGCAGGCACGGGCCCAGGCCGUGUGGGCAGGGCUUUUCUGGCGUGGAAGCGAUCCCGCUCAUCCUCGUGCGGAUUGGCCCUACUUGGGUUCUCGCGAGUGGCUGUCAAGCAGCCAUCCUAUUACGCGUGCGCAGUUUUCCUUUCUCCUCUGCGUCAGCAGGUAACGGUAGGGGUUCUGGUUAAGUCGUUUCUGGAGCCUUUGUUCACCCGUUUAUCCGUUCCUGCCGCCGAGAUGGCCGCAGUCUCCCGGACCUGGGUCCUUAAGAGGCUGUGAGAGACAGCUGAAGUGAAGGGACAGCGCAUCGAAUGAGCUCAGGAGGCCGAGGAGGAGGGGGACGAGCCGUGGAGGCGGACCGCAGAGAGUGAGGCCAGCAAGCCGGCAGUGGACCUUGGGAGGGAGGGCUUCAAGCAGGGGAGAGACAUUGUUAAUUUGCAUUUGAGAAGGCCCUUCGAAGAGUGAGGAUGAAAACCUGUGCGAGAGGAGAGAAGCUCAAGGGUUCCCAAAACAGAUACCGGGAGAUGUCAUUCCUCAUCGACCCUUCACUCCGCUUCUGUUAGCGGUCCCCCAGGGGUCUCUUAGCUUUCUUGUCCAACUGCUGCUCACGUUUCUCAACCAUACUCCUCAGCCCUCGACCUUAUUAUUGAAGUACCUCCUGGACACACCACCCAGUCAACCACUUCUGAAAUAAACCUUUCCAUUGUGCCACCUCCCCCAUA